GACGAACGCUGGCGGCGUGCUUAACACAUGCAAGUCGAACGGAAAGGCCCUGCUUUUGUGGGGUGCUCGAGUGGCGAACGGGUGAGUAACACGUGAGUAACCUGCCCUUGACUUUGGGAUAACUUCAGGAAACUGGGGCUAAUACCGGAUAGGAGCUCCUGCUGCAUGGUGGGGGUUGGAAAGUUUCGGCGGUUGGGGAUGGACUCGCGGCUUAUCAGCUUGUUGGUGGGGUAGUGGCUUACCAAGGCUUUGACGGGUAGCCGGCCUGAGAGGGUGACCGGCCACAUUGGGACUGAGAUAGGGCCCAGACUGCUACGGGAGGCAGCAGUGGGGAAUAUUGCACAAUGGGCGGAAGCCUGAUGCAGCAACGCCGCGUGCGGGAUGACGGCCUUCGGGUUGUAACCCGCUUUCGCCUGUGACGAAGCGUGAGUGACGGUAAUGGAUAAAGAAGCACCGGCUAACUACGUG
rnacentral:rRNA from 1 species